GACGAACGCUGGCGGCGUGCUUAAUACAUGCAAGUCGAACGAAAAGGCCCUGCUCUUGCGGGGCGCUCGAGUGGCGAACGGGUGAGUAACACGUGUGUAACCUCCCCUUGACUUUGUGAUAACUUCAGGAAACUGGGGAUAUUACCGGAUAGGAUAUCCUGCUGCACGGUGGGGGUUGGAAAGUUUCGGCGGUUGGGGCUGGACUCGCGGGUUAUCAGCUUGUUGGUGGGGUAGUGGCUUACCAAGGCUUUGAAGGGUAGCCGGCCUGAGAGGGUUACCGGCGACAUGGGGACUGAGAUACGGCCCAGACUCCUACGGGAGGCAGCAGUGGGAAAUAUUGCACAAUGGGCGGAAGCCUGAUACAGAAACGCCGCGUGCGGGAUGACGGCCUUCGGGUUAUAAACCGCUUUCGAAGGUGACGAAGCGUGAGUGACGGUAAUGGGUAAAGAAGCACCGGCUAACUACGUG
rnacentral:rRNA from 1 species